rnacentral:lncRNA from 1 species
GUGCCAGCUUCCCAGGGUCCUGGCAGGUGUCAGACUUGGGAAUAGCACAAUUGGCCAUGAGCCAGGAGCGACUCACAGGCAUGGGGAUCCAGCCCUCCUUGAUCUCCCCCACCUUCCUAGAUGGACUUGCAGCUUAUUUUCCGGAUGCUUCUUGUCUGGGUCCCCGGGUGCAGAACUUACUGAUUGAAAUGCUAGGAGGGUUUUCUGUGUGACUCCACCCUGGAUGUCCCCAGUACCUGCUCCUCCACUCAGGGAACACCCAGGCUCAGACCCCAAGCUCCUCUGAGCUGCCAGUAGGAUUCUGCUUCCGAGGCCAGAGGUGAGUCCAGGCUCUGUGGGAGGCUCUCAGGGGCUCAGCACAGCUCCACAUCACCCCACACAGAGGAGGCUGGGCCCCAGCACCUGCCCCGGGAAG